UACGGAGGGUGCAAGCGUUAGGCGGAAUCACUGGGCGUAAAGGGUGCGUAGGCGGUCGGGUAAGUCUGAUGUGAAAUCUCACAGCUUAACUGUGAAACUGCAUUGGAUACUAUCCGGCUCGAGGAAUGGAGGGGAGACUGGAAUACUUGGUGUAGCAGUGAAAUGCGUAGAUAUCAAGUGGAACACCAGUGGCGAAGGCGAGUCUCUGGACAUUUCCUGACGCUGAGGCACGAAAGCCAGGGGAGCAAACGGG
rnacentral:rRNA from 1 species